rnacentral:rRNA from 1 species
UACGUAGGGUGCGAGCGUUGUCCGGAAUUAUUGGGCGUAAAGAGCUCGUAGGCGGUUUGUCACGUCGGAUGUGAAAUCCCGGGGCUCAACUCCGGGUCUGCAUUCGAUACGGGCUGACUAGAGUUCGGUAGGGGAGACUGGAAUUCCUGGUGUAGCGGUGAAAUGUGCAGAUAUCAGGAGGAACACCGGUGGCGAAGGCGGGUCUCUGGGCCGAUACUGACGCUGAGGAGCGAAAGCGUGGGGAGCGAACAGG